GACGAACGCUGGCGGCGUGCUUAACACAUGCAAGUCGAACGGAAAGGCCCUGCUUUUGUGGGGUGCUCGAGUGGCGAACGGGUGAGUAACACGUGAGUAACCUGCCCUUGACUUUGGGAUAACUUCAGGAAACUGGGGCUAAUACCGGAUAGGAUCUCCUGCUGCAUGGUGGGGGGUGGAAAGUUUCGGCGGUUGGGGAUGGACUCGCGGCUUAUCAGCUUGUUGGUGGGGUAGUGGCUUACCAAGGCUUUGACGGGUAGCCGGCCUGAGAGGGUGACCGGCCACAUUGGGACUGAGAUACGGCACAGACUCCUACGGGAGGCAGCAGUGGGGAAUAUUGCACAAUGGGCGGAAGCCUGAUGCAGCAACGCCGCGUGCGGGAUGACGGCCUUCGGGUUGUAAACCGCUUUCGCCUGUGACGAAGCGUGAGUGACGGUAAUGGGUAAAGAAGCACCGGCUAACUACGUG
rnacentral:rRNA from 1 species